rnacentral:rRNA from 1 species
UAGCGUAGGGUGCAAGCCGUUAUCCGGAAUUAUUGGGCGUAAAAGAGCUCGUAGGCGGUUUGUCGCGUCUGCUGUGAAAACUGGAGGCUCAACCUCCAGCCUGCAGUGGGUACGGGCAGACUAGAGUGCGGUAGGGGAGAUUGGAAUUCCUGGUGUAGCGGUGGAAUGCGCAGAUAUCAGGAGGAACACCGAUGGCGAAGGCAGAUCUCUGGGCCGUAACUGACGCUGAGGAGCGAAAGCAUGGGGAGCGAACAGG